AAACCCGUAUGUAUGCCCAAGAUUUUGUGUCCGACAGGUGAAUUACAGGAGAAGGUGAUUCACUCAAUGCAACCAGGAGACUGGGUAUGGAUACAGUCCCUGAGGAGAAUAAUGGGAAGCAGCCACGUUGGGAGGGGCCAUACCAAGUACUCCUGGUGACAGCCUUCGCGGCUCCAGACAACGACUUGGACUCAGGACGUGAUGGGCAGCAGUCCAAAUGGAAGCAAAAAAACUUCUCACAGAGAUGGCCAGCCUUUGAGAGUGGUGUUAAAGGGAACGUAAGAGCCGUGUAAACUGGACUGAUGCCCAUCGACGUUGUUCUGGCAUACAGCUUGACAGAGGGGGAAAUCAAAGAGCCCCGGCUGAUGUAACUGAUAACCGAGAUGGAAUGGUCACACUAAUGUAUGAUCACAGAAGAAGGUCUCCAAAUGCUCGUCAAGGUUCAUGGCACUGCUCUCCCUGGUGAACUGGACUUUUCCCUUGAGGGUCCGUUUAAAGCAGAG
ensembl:lncRNA